GCCCCUUUCUGCGCCUACCAAUCGCCAGCCUCCACAGAGCAGACCGCUGUUCUAAACUGUAACACUGAUUCUGUUUUGUCCAUUUUUGUCCUUCAUAUGCAUGCGAUUAUAUUACAUGUACCGUCUCGUAGGGCGGCUUCUCUCACUUGGCAUUAUUGCCUCAUCCCUCUACUUCUCUUCUACUUUCCCUCUUGCCUGGGACUAAAGUGCCAAUGUGGAGAGAAAACAUCAUGGAUCUGCACUGCAUGUUCAUGACAAGGACUGUAUAACAUAUUGUGCAAAGACCCCCUGGGAUGUGGAUGUGGAUGUGGAUGAAAUAAGCUUGAACUUUGAUUUCUCUGCUCGUCCCUGCAAAGAAAAUAAAGUUUGUAUCCCAAA
rnacentral:lncRNA from 1 species